rnacentral:lncRNA from 1 species
AGCCUGCCGAGGUUUAAAGAGAGGGGAAAUGGACUCUACCUCUUGAUGGGGGGAGUUGAGGUUCUGGAAGAGCUUGUGAGACCAGAAGUAUUGUAGGCACCAUUAUUGGAAAAUACAGUGUGCUAUAGUAGUAGCCUCAUAUACAGAUCUAUCACAGUUUGGUUAUCCAUUCUACUUUUAAUGGCAUUUGCAUCAUUUCCAAUUUUGGACUACUAUAAUAAAUCUGCUACAAACAUUCUUACAUGUGUAUUUUGUCGGAUAUGCACUUCCUUCUUUUGGAAGUAUUCCUGGGUAUGGUGCUGUUGGUAGAUAUAAUUUAGCUUCAGUAGUUAACUAUCAGUUUUUCAAAGCGGUUGCACCAGUUUAUAUCCUCUGAUAUUUUUAAGAAUUAAAAAAAAUAUACAUUUGUCUAACUUUUUAAUUGCAAGAGGGUUGGUGUGUAAUAUGCGGUCUAGCUUUGUUGGAAAUGUAGGUCCUUUGUCUUAUCUUUUGUGUAACUAACUGUGUUUUGCUUUCCCAGCCAGAUGCUUAAUUAUUGGAAAAUAGGGAUGAUAGAAUAGUCUGAUUGUGAAGUAACAGUAGUAGUAAUUUCUUUUUAAAGAUUUAUUUAUUUAUCCAUGAGAGACACACAGAGAGAAGCAGGCUCCCCAUUGGGGGUCUGAUGUGGGACUCGAUCCCAGGACUCCAGGACCCUGACGUCAAGCCAAAGGCAGACUCAACCACUUGAGCCACCCAUCGCCAGUAGUAGUAGUAGUAGUAAUUUUUAAAGAAGUAUUUUAGAAUAUGUAUUAAAGUGAGUGCUAAAUAGAGUUACCAUUAACAGACCAUCUGCAUUAAUUGCGGAAGUCAGAUUUCUGAAAUUUCCUUUUACAACUCGCUUUUCGGAAAUACUGAGCCCUGUCCCUCAAUUUCUGGCACAUUUUGCUUUUGAAUCAGUGCUGUAUCAUGAAUUUGAAUUCUAAGCUCAUUCACCAGACUUGCUUGGGAAAUCUUUUUCAAUUGAAAUAACUUUUUCCUAUAAAGUUGAUAGUUUGCCGUCGUGAAGGAUUGCCAGAAGAAUGUCAUCUCGGUUCUCCCCUCAGACUCAGGGUUACUUUUGAUUCCUUCACUAUUAAUAGUCAUUUUAACUUUCUUCCAUAUGUCCUUUGAUUCUCAUCCCCCUUCCUUUUUUAACCAAUAUUUUAGAACAGUUUGUUUUAGCUCAUACCUCCUUUUCUGUGGUAAUUUAUUGAUUGAUGCUACUAAUAAUAAUGCUUAGGAAGUUAGAAAUCUCUUAGUUACUCAUUGAGUUAAGAUUAGUUUUUAGGUCGUAAAAUCUUACAGUGCUAAAAAGAGAACUUAAAAGUCUUUUCAACUUGGGGUGCCUGAGUGGCUUAGGUGGUUAAGCGUCCGACUCUUAAUUUUGGCUGGGGUUGUACUCUCAGGGUUGUGAGAUCAAGCCCUGUGUCAAGCUGCAUGCUUAGCGUGGAAUCUGCUCGAGUCUCUCUCUUCCCUCUAUUCCUCCCCCACCACCCAGUUUGCUAGUCUGUGCACAAUCUCCCAAAUAAAUGCAAUCUUAAAAAAUAUCAUUUCAACUUAUUUAUUUAAAAAUAAGACCCCAAAAAAGCUGAACCAGUACUAGUAUAUAUGAGAUAUUUAGUUUAGUAAAGCAUUUUUUCAUGCAUAAUCCCUUGACAAUCAUGAGUGGUAGGUAGCUUAGAAAUUUUAACUCUCAUUUUACAGAUGAAGAAACAGAAUCUCAGAGCAAUGAAAUGACUUGAUCUAAAGUCCUAGAGCUGGUUAAUGGGAGAGCUGUACCUCUUGCUUCUAGGACUUGUAUGGUGAGUGAUUUUCUUGCAAGGCUCACAAUCUACUGAAUUCCAAUUUUAUGGACUACAUGAAUUUUCCUCUCUUCAAUGCUAUGUAUUUACAUUUUAUGGCCCAUAAAUUUACUCAUUUUCAUUCAGUACAGGGUCUUUGCAUAAGCUGAAGCUCUUCACUCUCAUUUCCCUUAUAGUACUUUUUGUCCUGGAUAUGUUUUGUUAGUGGCAAGAUGGCAGAUUUAUCUUGAUUUUUUUUUUUUUUUUUAAUCUCAACCCCCUUGGGAUGGUUUUGCAUAUUGUCUAGCUGAAUAAGUAUUUAUUGAAUGGAUGGAUGGAUUCUUGUGUUUAGAAUCUAACUAGAGAUAGUCUGGAAUUGUUAGCUGACUUUUUAAAUGAUACUAGGCCUCUGAAAAUCAGAUAUAUUGUAUCCUUCAUUUUAGCUUUUAUCUGUAGAGCUCAGGCAUUAUGUGCAGUUCUGAUAGUAUGUAUCAAGUGCAUUAGGCAAAUAACAACAUGUGAACAAAUUAUGAGCUGCUUUUGAAAGGCUCUGUAACUAAGAAGUUUGGGAAAGGACAUUUGUUUUUCUAAAUACCUAGAGGUUGACCUGUUUACCGGUGUAUGGCUACUAGAAUUUGGUAAGUCCUUCUGGAAACCUAACUCAAAUUCUACCUGCAGAAGAGGAAAUUAGACCUCAUUCUUAUCUGAUGCUUCGUUAACAUACACGUGUAAACAAAACAAAGAAAUCAAAUGAUUUCACAUUUUACCCAUCUCAUUCUCUGAUCCUAUUAGCAGGAAGUAUGUUGUUGAUUUAGUGAACAGGAUAAACAAACCUCCUUUCAUUCUAGCAAUGAUAGAAAAUCUGCCUUAUUUCUCUUGAGCUGGGAAAAUAUUUAAACCUUUUCAAAUUUAACAUUGUGUUUCAGGGGAUAUACAUUGCAGAAAGAGCAUUUUUUGUAGAAUGCCCAAGAAUUGGGAAAGUACAGUGGAGAGACUUUUCUGCAUCAAUGAAUAAUGACUUUAAUAUUAACUUGAAGUUAUUUAUCUGAAUGAGAAGAUAUUACCUAGGAAUGUGCCUCGACAUAUGUAUAUAUUUGAGCUAAUGAAUUAUGAGUCUGAAUUAAAAAAAAAAAAAA